rnacentral:rRNA from 1 species
AGAGCGAACGCUGGCGGCAGGCCUAAAACAUGCAAGUCGAACGAGCCCUUCGGGGUUAGUGGCGGACGGGUGAGUAACACGUGGGAACGUGCCUUUUGGUUCGGAACAACUCAGGGAAACUUGAGCUAAUACCGAAUGUGCCCUUCGGGGGAAAGAUUUAUCGCCAUUAGAGCGGCCCGCGUCUGAUUAGCUAGUUGGUGAGGUAAAGGCUCACCAAGGCUUCGAUCAGUAGCUGGUCUGAGAGGAUGAUCAGCCACACUGGGACUGAGACACGGCCCAGACUCCUACGGGAGGCAGCAGUUAGGAAUCUGCGCAAUGGGCGAAAGCCUGACGCAGCCAUGCCGCGUGAAUGAUGAAGGUCUUAGGAUUGUAAAAUUCUUUCAGCGGGGACGAUAAUGACGGUACCCGCAGAAGAAGCUCCGGCUAACUUCGUGCCAGCAGCCGC